rnacentral:rRNA from 1 species
GACGAACGCUGGCGGCGCGCUUAACACAUGCAAGUCGAACGGAAAGGCCUGCUUUCCCUUGUGGAUUGCGGGUACUCGAGUGGCGAACGGGUGAGUAACACGUGAGUGAUCUGCCCCCAACUUGGGUAUAAGCCUGGGAAGCUGGGUCUAAUUCCCGAUAGGACUGCAGGGUGGUGCCUGUGGUGGAAAACGAUUUUCUAGUGGUUGGGGAUGAGCUCGCGGCCUAUCAGCUUGUUGGUGGGGUAAUGGCCUACCAAGGCGGCGACGGGUAGCCGGCCUGGGAGGGUGGACGGCCACAUUGGGACUGAGAUACGGCCCAGACUCCUACGGGAGGCAGCAGUGGGGAAUAUUGCACAAUGGGCGGAAGCCUGAUGCAGCGACGCCGCGUGGGGGAUGACGGCCUUCGGGUUGUAAACUCCUUUCGACCGCGAGGAAGCCACCUGGUUGGAGGGGUGGUGACGGUAGUGGUAGAAGAAGCACCGGCUAACUACGUG